GAUAAACGCUGGCGGCGUGCCUAACACAUGCAAGUCGAACGCUUUCUUUGUCUUCGGACAAAGAGGGAGUGGCGGACGGGUGAGUAACACGUGGGUAAUCUAGCUUCGAGUGAGGAAUACCGACGAGAAAUCGUUGACAAUACCGCAUAUGCUUGCCACAUAGGCAAGCAAAGCCGAAAGGCGCUCGAAGAUGAGCCUGCGCCCGAUUAGCUAGCUGGGGGGUAAAAGCCUACCAGGGCGACGAUCGGUAGCUGGUCUGAGAGGACGAUCAGCCACACUGGGAUUGAGAACGGCCCAGACUCCUACGGGAGGCAGCAGUGAGGAAUUUCCGCAAUGGGCGCAAGCCUGACGGAGCAACGCCGCGUGCAGGAAGAAGGUCUUCGGAUCGUAAACUGCUUUUAUCAGGGAAGAGAACGGACGGUACCUGAUGAAGAAGUCCCGGCUAACUACGUGCCAGCAG
rnacentral:rRNA from 1 species